GAUGAACGCUGGCGGCGUGCUUAACACAUGCAAGUCGAGCGAUGAAGUUUCCUUCGGGAAACGGAUUAGCGGCGGACGGGUGAGUAACACGUGGGUAACCUGCCUCAUAGAGUGGAAUAGCCUUCCGAAAGGAAGAUUAAUACCGCAUAACGUUGAAAGAUGGCAUCAUCAUUCAACCAAAGGAGCAAUCCGCUAUGAGAUGGACCCGCGGCGCAUUAGCUAGUUGGUGGGGUAACGGCCUACCAAGGCGACGAUGCGUAGCCGACCUGAGAGGGUGAUCGGCCACAUUGGGACUGAGACGCGGCCCAGACUCCUACGGGAGGCAGCAGUGGGGAAUAUUGCACAAUGGGGGAAACCCUGAUGCAGCAACGCCGCGUGAGUGAUGAAGGUUUUCGGAUCGUAAAGCUCUGUCUUUGGGGAAGAUAAUGACGGUACUCAAGGAGGAGCCACGGCUAACUACGUGCCAGCCGCCGCAGUAA
rnacentral:rRNA from 1 species